AUUGAACGCUGGCGGCAGGCCUAACACAUGCAAGUCGAGCGAGCGGCGGACGGGUGAGUAAUGUCUGGGAAACUGCCUGAUGGAGGGGGAUAACUACUGGAAACGGUAGCUAAUACCGCAUACCAUCAGAUGUGCCCAGAUGGGAUUAGCUAGUGGGUGGGGUAACGGCUCACCUAGGCGACGAUCCCUCGCUGGUCUGAGAGGAUGACCAGCAACAUUGGAACGGGGACACGGCCCAGACUCCAACGGGAGGCAGCAGUGGGGAAUAUUGCACAAUGGGCGCAAGCCGGAUGCAGCCAUGCGGCGGGGGUGAAGAAGGCCUUCGGGUGGUAAAGUACUUUCAGCGGGGAGGCGUUACCCGAAGAAGAAGCACCGGCUAACUCCGUGCCAGCAGCCGCGGUAAUAC
rnacentral:rRNA from 1 species